GGGCGCUGGUUGCCCCGGUGCUCCGCGAGCCGCGCGGAGGGUGUGAACCCGGGAAGGACUCGCCAGCAGACCUCGACCGCUGCCCGCUGCCCGCUGCCCGCUGCGUGGGAGCGUGCGGGCUGGGGCGCGGCGUGCGGGUGGUACGUUUGGGGGGAGGAAGGGAGGGAGCCGAAGGCCUGAACCUGCGGGGAAGUGAGCCCUGGGAUGCCUGCCCUUCUGGGGUCUGUGACAACCCCAUGAUCAGGUCGUCCUAGGGCGGAGCAAGGGCGGCAGCCCUCCAAGAGCAAAAAUGCUGGGCCCUGGCAGAGAGUUACCGGAGCCCGAGGUCUGGGCAGCCUCGUGGAUCCAGGAGGGAGGACCGGGUGAACCCCGUAGGGGAAAGUGUAGACACCUCUCAGCCAUUCGUUGGAAGGAGGGCUCUGAGAGGACUGGAGGAGAGGUGAAGGGACUGGGGUGGAGUAGGGGGCCCAGGCAGAGCCUGGCUGUCUCUCCUCCAGAUUCCCAGAAAAAGGAAGUGGCCUGAGCCGACAGCCCACCUGCUGCUUGGGGGAGGAGUUGCCGAUUCCUGUCUGUCUCUGGGGCUGUCCCUCCAUGGUUGCUGUUCCCGCUCCAAGAAGUCCCACCCUUCCAACAGCCUCCAGGCAACUGGAAUUCUUCCCUGGACAGACCACAUGUCACCACUGCCUUCCCAGGGGCAGGUUAAAACCACUGGGUGGUGGAGCUGAGGACCUUUGCUAUUGAGCCCUGACCUGCACCUGUUCUUUGAACCGUGUCUUGGGGUGGGGGGGCGGUGGCCAUGUGGAUUUUAGAUUGAUUCCCAGGUCCCUGUUAGCUUUUGCUCCCCAGAACUUCAGAAAUUUAAAGCACUGUGCCCCUCCUACUGUGAAUUACCACAGCUCCCCUAGGCAGCUCUGCUUGGGUCUUUGCAGUGGCAACCAGGUGACAGCUGGAUCUGGAGUCUUCUGAAGGUUAAACCAGGGUGGGCCAUCCUCAGGUAGGUGGCAUGUGGCCUUUCCCGUGGCUAGUUGGGGCUUCCUCACUGCAUGGAUUCUCCAUGGUAUCUGGCUCUCCCGGCAUGUGUGUGUCAGGCCAGGCAGAACUGUUAGACUUCUAUGACUCGGUGUCCAGUGUCAUGUAGAAUCAUUCUCACUGUGUCCUAUAGGUCAGAAAGAACAUUCUGGGCCACCACCUUUCCAAAGAAAGGAAAUGUCACAAAGUGGGACCCGUGAUCCAGAACUGUCAUCUGAGACUGGCCAUCAUCCUCUGUGACUGUAGGGGACUGUGUUUUCCAGCUUUGGCCUGGCCAGCCUAGUGUCCUGGAGGGCAGAGAGACCACACACCAGUGAGCCCCUCCCGGAAGCUGGCCCACCACAGCUGGGCAGGCCCAAGCAGGCAGGCCAGGGCAGGUGGCUGAGCAGGUGGCCCCAGCCCAUGAGACCAGGCCCUCUGCCUCCGGCCUUGGUCUGAGCUGCAGCUGGAAGCUCUGUGAUUUGUCUUCAGGAUCGGAGCAACCACAGGCAGGAAGUGCCUGUGCUAGAAUGAGACUCCCCGAGCCCUGCAGUGGGAAGGGGCCUGCCUGGCCAUUGGCUGUGGCAUGCUGAAUUCCGACUCCUCUCCAGAAACAGCAUGUGGCCUUUUCAGUGCAGGCAGAACGUUUUCCAGGCAGAUAUCUGGUCCAUCUCUGAGCUUGGCAUCCUGGGGGCUUUGGAGACCUUGUCUAGGGCGUGUGUAGAGGUAGAGACAGCACCUGGGGUGGGACAGAAGGACCCUCUGUAGGUUCCUGUGGGUACUGGCUGAGACAAGCUUCUGCAGACUCUGUGGCUUACAGCCUCGCAGCUCUGGAGGGCAAGAUCCCAGGUAGGGUGUUGGCAGGGCUGACCCCAUCUGGUGCCCCAGGGAGGUGGCAUUCCUUGCCCUCUGCAGCUUCUACAAGCACCCCCACUCCUGACACUUGCUGCCCCUUCCCGUCUUCAAAGCCAGCAGCAGGUGUCUCUGUCCUUCCACUUCUACCCCUUAUCUUCUGACCCUGCAGCUCCCUCUUCCAAGGAUUCUGAUAACCAGGGUCACCCCAUCUCAGGGUCCUCACUUCAUCGCAUCUGCAAAGUCCUUUUUGCCAUGUGAGGUCCCAGACCACAGGUUCUGGGAACAGGUGUGGACACACAGCAGGUACACACUGGGAGAGAUGGUACCACAUCCAGGGUGGAGCCCUGGGUCCUGAGGGUCCAGGAUCUGCAGGUCUGCAGGACACUGAUGCUUUCCUUUCUGUAUAAGGGGAGUGGGGCAAGUUCCCCUGCAAAGGAUGGG
rnacentral:lncRNA from 1 species